ACUAAAUAUAGAGUUACUAGUACCCCAUUAAUCAUGACUGAGCAGAACUUAUCGCCAGGAGCCUUUGAGCUCACUGUGAAAGCAUCGCAUUCUAGUGUUGCCUUAAACUACAUACUGCAUAAUUACAAUUUCUCAAUCAAACAUAUCGAUGACUAUGCGCAACUUCUUAAACCAUAUACCGAUUGCAUUUUCUUAUUUUAAAUCAAUAUACAGCUUCGUACUCUCACACUAAAACUACAUACCGUCAACGCUAUCCU